AUGCAGCACUAUGCAAAACCCUACCGAUAGCCUUCAGGUACUGAUGAUGCCAUAAAAACACCAGGGGUUACAAGCAGUCAGGAGCCCAAAUUUGCUUGUAUGGCUGUUGAUAUACUACUUUCUUUUUUUAAGAAAUAAGUGAAUUGUUAUUAAUUAUACUGAUCUAAAGCAGCAAUGUGGGGCUGUCCAUAAGGAUAUUUUUAGUAGUGGCAGGGGGAUUUUUCAGGUUACACAGGAUCUAUUUCUGAUGGUUGGCAAUGAGGGAUCAAAUAGACAGAAGCAGCUGAAGGGAUGGAUAGAGCGGUCGGUUGUGUGGGUUAUGGGGGGAGUCCAAAAUUAUGGCUCAGCUGAUGACCUACAAUGCAAAUCGGUGACCCCCUUAGUUCACUGUGAUACCACCUCUCUUCCUGUCUGUACGUCACGGGCCGAGUUUGUACAUGAGCUCAUGUAAUGCAUUCUUACUCACCGGGUGGAACAAGGAAGGCAUCAUACUCAUAAUGAUGUGCCACACCAAGACUGGGCACAGGUAUGGCCAGCGCUGCGUCCAGGCUCGCGGGUUUACUGCGGCCGAGAGCAUCACUGACUCUGGAUUUGCUGAUGUCCGCCUGGAUUCGGGUCCUUUUGCUGUAAACCUUCUCAAUGUCCCUCCAGGAUCCACCGCUGGAGUUCAAGAUGCCGCUUAAUCCUUUGGGUAACGGUGGCAAACCGUCGA